CAGGGUGACUGAGGGAGGGAGGGGAUGGACCGAGGACCUGACAGUCUGCCUGCCUUAUGGCGAGCCUUUUGCCGAGGGCGCUCUAAUUACGGGAGUUAGGCGGCUGCCUAAGGCCUCACGGCCACCUAACUUGCCUAAUUAGAGAACCACUGGCAAAAUGUCGCCCCUGUCAGAGUGCCUCCUGGAGCCAUGGCUCCACUGCAGCUUUGGACGGGCCGACCCUGGUGAGAACUAUUGGUGGAGAAGGGCCUUUAUUUUUGUCAUCAACAGUGUGAUUCUCUGAUAUAGUACUAUGUUUGUUGGUAGCGAGUUAGAUAUCCAGGUAGGUUAUGAUAUGUUUCAUCCAAUCAAAGGACUACCCGGAUUGUAGUUGAGCGAGUUAGGCAUGCGGAAGGCCUAGAGCCAAUGCCUGGGUUUUCGAUACAUUAUUGUAGAAUACUAUACAGUACCCUACUCCAAAACAGUCAAUACUAAGGGCAGUGAUAAGGAGGGUUUAGUUAAGGAUAAGAUAAUAUCAGCAAAUAGAGAUUGUUUUUGUUCGCCAGGCAUUUGUUCUCCCUAGUGUUAAUGCCAGAUAGAGUGCUUAGUUUCGUGUAAAAGCAGCUCGUGCACAAGAAUAAAAAUCAGUGGGGACAAGGUGCAUCCUUGAUAUGUGCUAUUUGUUUUCUUGAAUAGUGUGGAUAUGAAGCCUGUGUUAAAAAUUUUGGAGGAGGAGUUUGAGUAAAG